rnacentral:rRNA from 1 species
CCUGGCUCAAGAUGAACGCUAGCUACAGGCUUAACACAUGCAAGUCGAGGGGCAGCAUGGUCUUAGCUUGCUAAGGCCGAUGGCGACCGGCGCACGGGUGAGUAACACGUAUCCAACCUGCCGUCUACUCUUGGACAGCCUUCUGAAAGGAAGAUUAAUACAAGAUGGCAUCAUGAGUCCGCAUGUUCACAUGAUUAAAGGUAUUCCGGUAGACGAUGGGGAUGCGUUCCAUUAGAUAGUAGGCGGGGUAACGGCCCACCUAGUCUUCGAUGGAUAGGGGUUCUGAGAGGAAGGUCCCCCACAUUGGAACUGAGACACGGUCCAAACUCCUACGGGAGGCAGCAGUGAGGAAUAUUGGUCAAUGGGCGAGAGCCUGAACCAGCCAAGUAGCGUGAAGGAUGACUGCCCUAUGGGUUGUAAACUUCUUUUAUAAAGGAAUAAAGUCGGGUAUGGAUACCCGUUUGCAUGUACUUUAUGAAUAAGGAUCGGCUAACUCCGUGCCAGCAGCCGCGGUAAUACGGAGGAUCCGAGCGUUAUCCGGAUUUAUUGGGUUUAAAGGGAGCGUAGAUGGAUGUUUAAGUCAGUUGGAAAAGUUUGCGGCUCAACCGUAAAAUUGCAGUUGAUACUGGAUAUCUUGAGUGCAGUGAGGGCAGGCGGAAUUCGUGGUGUAGCGGUGAAAUGCUUAGAUAUCACGAAGAACUCCGAUUGCGAAGGCAGCCUGCUAAGCUGCAACUGACAUUGAGGCUCGAAAGUGUGGGUAUCAAACAGGAUUAGAUACCCUGGUAGUCCACACGGUAAACGAUGAAUACUCGCUGUUUGCGAUAUACAGCAAGCGGCCAAGCGAAAGCGUUAAGUAUUCCACCUGGGGAGUACGCCGGCAACGGUGAAACUCAAAGGAAUUGACGGGGGCCCGCACAAGCGGAGGAACAUGUGGUUUAAUUCGAUGAUACGCGAGGAACCUUACCCGGGCUUAAAUUGCAGAUGAAUUACGGUGAAAGCCGUAAGCCGCAAGGCAUCUGUGAAGGUGCUGCAUGGUUGUCGUCAGCUCGUGCCGUGAGGUGUCGGCUUAAGUGCCAUAACGAGCGCAACCCUUGUUGUCAGUUACUAACAGGUUCCGCUGAGGACUCUGACAAGACUGCCAUCGUAAGAUGUGAGGAAGGUGGGGAUGACGUCAAAUCAGCACGGCCCUUACGUCCGGGGCUACACACGUGUUACAAUGGGGGGUACAGAGGGCCGCUACCACGCGAGUGGAUGCCAAUCCCCAAAACCUCUCUCAGUUCGGACUGGAGUCUGCAACCCGACUCCACGAAGCUGGAUUCGCUAGUAAUCGCGCAUCAGCCACGGCGCGGUGAAUACGUUCCCGGGCCUUGUACACAC